rnacentral:misc_RNA from 1 species
AUCAUGUGGCAUUUAAUGUAUUGAUGACCAGUAUGUUUAAGAAUUAUGUGGUAUGUGAUGUCUUGGUGACCAUCAAGUCCAGAAAUACUGUGCUAUUUAAUGGCUUGGUGACCCUCAUGGCUAGGAAUCCUGUGGAAUGUAAUAUCUUGGUAACCCUCAUGUCUAGGAAUCCUGUGACAUGUAAUGUUGUUGUGUCUAGGAAUCUUGUGGUAUUUAAUGGCUUGGUGACCGUCAUCUCUAGGAAUCCUGUGUUAUGUAAUGCCUUGGUGACUGUGAUCUCUAGGAAUCCUGUAGCAUGUAAUGUCUUGGUGACUGUCAUGUCUAGGAGUCCUAUGGGAUGUAAUGGCUUCGUGACCAUGAUCUUUAGGAGUCCUGUGGGAUGUAAUGGCUUCGUGACCAUGAUCUUUAGGAGUCCUGUGGGAUGUAAUGGCUUCGUGACUGUCUUCUCUAGGAAUCCUGUGGGAUAUAAUGUCUUGGUGACUGUCAUCUCUAGGAAUCCUAUGGCAUGUACUGCCUUGGUGACUGUUACCUCUAGGAAUCCUUUGGAAUGUAAGAUCUUGGUGACCAUCAUCUCUAGGAAUGCUGUGGAAUGUAAUGUCUUAGUGACUGUCAUCUCUAGGAAUCCUAUGGCAUGUACUGCCUUGGUGACUGUUACCUCUAGGAAUCCUUUGGAAUGUAAGGUCUUGGUGACCAUCAUCUCUAGGAAUGCUGUGGAAUGUAAGGUCUUGGUGACUGUCAUGUCUAGGAAUUCUGUGGGAUGUAAUGUCUUGGUGACCAUGAUCUCUAGGAGUCCUGUGGGAUGUAAUGGCUUGGUGACUGUCAUCUCUAGGAAUCCUAUGGCAUGUACUGCCUUGGUGACUGUUACCUCUAGGAAUCCUUUGGAAUGUAAGGUCUUGGUGACUGUCAUCUCUAGGAAUGCUGUGGAAUGUAAUGUCUUAGUAACCGUCAUGUCUGGAAAUACUGUGGUAUGUAAUGUUGUUGUGACUGUCGUGUCUAGGAAUCCUGUAGCAUGUAAUGUUGUUGUGACUGUCAUGUUUAGGAAUCCUGUAGCAUGUAAUGUUGUUGUGACUGUCGUGUCUAAGAAUCCUGUGGUAUGUAAUGGCUUGGUGACCCUCAUGUCUUGGAAUCUUGUGGUAUGUAAUGUCUUGGUAACUGUCAUGUCUAGGAAUCCUAUAGAAUGUAUUGGCUUGGUGUCUGUCAUCUCUAGGAAUCCUGUGGAAUGUCAUAUCUUGGUGACCAUCAUGUAUAAAAAUGCUGUGGCAUGUAAUGUCUAGGAAUCCUAUAGAAUGUAUUGGCUUGGUGUCUGUCAUGUCUAGGAAUCCUGUGGAAUGUCAUAUCUUGGUGACCAUCAUGUAUAAAAAUGCUGUGGCAUGUAAUAUCUAGGAAUCUUGUGGCAUGUAAUGUCUAGGAAUCCUGUGAUAUGUAAUGUCUUGGUGACUGUCAUGGCUACAAAUCCUGUGGCAUGUAAUAUCUUGGUGACUGUUAUCUCUUGGAAUCCUAUGGUGUGUAAUGUCAUGGUAACCAUCAUAUCUAGGAAAUCUGUAGUAUGUAAGGUCUUGGUGACUGUCAUGUUUAAAACUCCUAUGGUGUGUUAAGUUUAGGAAUCUUGUAGCAUGUAAUAUCUUUGUGAACAUCAUGUCUAGGUAUCCUGGGGUAUGUAAGAUCGUGUCUAGGAAUCUAACUAUUUAUAUCAUUAAUUAUGCUGCUGUAUUUUGACUAUCUAGGUAGUGCAAUCUUGUCUUGAUUGUGUUGUGAUAUUACUAAUAUUCCAUCAUCUUAUCUCAUUCAAAUCUAGGGUAUUAUAGCAGCUGUUUUUACCUUUGAGAUGUUUCAUCAAGAAAUUACUGAUUGCUGGUAAUAGGUUCGAGAUAAUAGCUAGGCUUUUUGGCUGAUAGGUGUGAGCCAAAGGCUAGGUCUUCUUGGGUGAUAGGUGUGAGCCAAAGGCAAGGCCCACUUGUGUGAUAGGUUUGAGCUGAUGGCUAUGUCUUCCUGUUAUUGAAAGAACACCCAGGUUGAAUUCUACAUAUAGUUCUUCUCUGGACUUUUGUGUAGAUUGCAACUGAUAACAGAAUAUAAACUAGUUGAUAGUUAGUAUCUAAUGAGGAAAAACAAGUAAAUAUUUAACAGUUAGCCUUGUAUAGUCAUGUAGGUUACUUACCAUGACAUCAAACAGUUGGAUGAGAUGGAGUUUACUAAAUUGUAGGAAAUUUUGUACAGUUUUUGUACAUUUUUAAAGAUGGAUUCAAAUGGACAAGAGAAAGAUCAGCUGGAUUUAAGAAGUGCUCACAAACAGACAGAAAAGAAGAAACUCAAACAGGGUGCCACCUAGCUGCAGACAGUAGUGGUAGCCCUGCUC